rnacentral:misc_RNA from 1 species
GAAAUGCGAUAAGUAAUGUGAAUUGCAGAAUUCAGUGAAUCAUCGAAUCUUUGAACGCACCUUGCGCUCCUUGGUAUUCCUUGGAGCAUGCCUGUUUGAGUAUCAUGAAAUCUUCAAAGUAAAUCUUUUGUUAACUCAAUUGGUUUCUACUUUGGUAUUGGAGGUCUUUGCAGCUUCACACCUGCUCCUCUUUGUUCAUUAGCUGGAUCUCAGUGUUAUGCUUGGUUCCACUCGGCGUGAUAAGUUAUCUAUCGCUGAGGACACUGUAAAAGGUGGCCAAGGUAAAUGCAGAUGAACCGCUUCUAAUAGUCCAUUGACUUGGACAAUACUUUUAUGAUCUGAUCUCCAAUCACUUAGGACUACCCGCUUAACUUAAGC